GGGGGGGUUUGGGGCGUGGGGGUGUGGGAUUGGGUACGUCUUGGGAUCACAGAUUGUGAUACAGCACUUUCCCCGUAUGGUACAUAACUUUUUGGUUUGGAUCGGGUAUUCGUACCAAGACGUAUGGGCCUAAAGUGGUGUGGUAGUGAGGUGGGUGUAAUCGUAUGGUAUGGUGAUGUU